AAGCUGUGGGAGAGAUUGGCCCCGCCCCCUUGAAGGUAAACAUUUUCUGUAUCUUUCUGCAGCUUUUCUGUCAUAAUCCGGUCUACUGGUGACUGAGCAGAACCUUCAAAGCAGAAUCAGGAUUUCUGGUUUGAAUCCCCGCUGCAGCUUCUACCACAGGAAUCCAGAAGGGGGCGGAGUCACUCAACCUCUGGGUUUAUAAACAGAAGAACAGAGGUUCUGUCCGUCGUGUGUGAAUGCACUGAAACCAGGAUGAGAGCGGCACCGGCGGUUCUGCUGUGGCUCUCCACGCUCUCAGGUGAGCGUCACGGUCCGACAUCAGACACGUUUUUAUUUCAGAAAACAAACGUUAGCAUCGGUUCCUGAAGAGAAAAACCUGGAGUCUGCAGACUUAUGUUUUCAUGCUGGAUCUACCUUAUCUUAGUGGAUCUGCUCACCUGUUCACCUGCAUACCUGCUCAUCUGUUCACCCGUUUACCUGCUCACCUGCAUACCUGCUCAUCUGUUCAUCCGUUUACCUGCUCACCUGUUUACCUGCUCACCUGUUGACCUGCUUACCUGUUCACCUGUUUACCUGCUCACCUGCAUACCUGUUCACCUGCUCACCUGUUGACCUGUGUUCUUCCUCAGGGGCUCUGGCUCAGUUGGACGGUCGGUUUCUUCUCUUCUUCUUUCAAACGUUUGUCAGCUGGAACCCCUCAGUGAGUC